CCUACGGGGGGCAGCAGUGGGGAAUAUUGCACAAUGGGGGGAACCCUGAUGCAGCGACGCCGCGUGAGUGAAGAAGUAUUUCGGUAUGUAAAGCUCUGUCAGCAGGGAAGAAGAAAGACGGUACCUGACCAAGAAGCCCCGGCUAACUACGUGCCAGCAGCCGCGGUAAUACGUAGGGGGCAAGCGUUAUCCGGAUUUACUGGGUGUAAAGGGAGCGUAGAGGGCAGUGCAAGUCUGGAGUGAAAGCCCGGGGCCCAACCCCUGGACUGCUCUUGAAACUGUCCGGCUGGAGUGCAGGAGAGGUAAGCGGAAUUCCUAGUGUAGCGGUGAAAUGCGUAGAUAUUAGGAGGAACACCAGUGGCGAAGGCGGCUUACUGGACUGUAACUGACGUUGAGGCUCGAAAGCGUGGGGAGCGAACAGGAUUAGAUACCCUUGUAGUC
rnacentral:rRNA from 1 species